rnacentral:lncRNA from 1 species
UUUUGUGUCAAAUAUUAUUCUUCCUUAGAGCAUGUACAUAUCAUCAGUGUUUUGCUUUUAAUUUUUUUUUUUUUUUGCAGCAUGCUAGACUUCUGAUGUGAAUUUUAUUUUUUGAUGUGUUACUAGUUUGGGCAGCACGCCUCAUUUUUAACAUGUAGUCUGGAGAAAUUAGGACAGUUCUGUGGGACUCUCUUUGUAAU